UCCGAAUGGGGAAACCCAGUGUGAUUCGUCACACUAUCAUUAACUGAAUCCAUAGGUUAAUGAGGCGAACCGGGGGAACUGAAACAUCUAAGUACCCCGAGGAAAAGAAAUCAACCGAGAUUCCCCCAGUAGCGGCGAGCGAACGGGGAGGAGCCCAGAGCCUGAAUCAGCAUGUGUGUUAGUGGAAGCGUCUGGAAAGGCGCGCGAUACAGGGUGACAGCCCCGUACACAAAAGCGCAUAUGCUGUGAGCUCGAUGAGUAGGGCGGGACACGUGGUAUCCUGUCUGAAUAUGGGGGGACCAUCCUCCAAGGCUAAAUACUCCUGACUGACCGAUAGUGAACCAGUACCGUGAGGGAAAGGCGAAAAGAACCCCGGCGAGGGGAGUGAAAAAGAACCUGAAACCGUGUACGUACAAGCAGUGGGAGCACAGGUUUACCUGUGUGACUGCGUACCUUUUGUAUAAUGGGUCAGCGACUUAUAUUCUGUAGCAAGGUUAACCGMAUAGGGGAGCCGGAGGGAAACCGAGUCUUAAYYGGGCGUUAAGUUGCAGGGUAUAGACCCGAAACCCGGUGAUCUAGCCAUGGGCAGGUUGAAGGUUGGGUAACACUAACUGGAGGACCGAACCGACUAAUGUUGAAAAAUUAGCGGAUGACCUGUGGCUGGGGGUGAAAGGCCAAUCAAACCGGGAGAUAGCUGGUUCUCCCCGAAAGCUAUUUAGGUAGCGCCUCGUGAAUUCAUCUCCGGGGGUAGAGCACUGUUUCGGCUAGGGGGCCAUCCCGGCU
rnacentral:rRNA from 1 species